rnacentral:tRNA from 1 species
GCGUCGUUGGUGUUAGUGAUAGCAUAUUAGACUUCCAAUCUAAAGGGGAGAGUUUGAAUCUCUUACGACGCU